UUAUGAUGCGCCUUCUCACUGGUACUGACACCGUAUCAUCAGGAAAAGUUGGAAAAAGCUCCACUGGUUUUGAGUUCAAACCGGAGGUCAUCAGGGCCUUUGGAUCGAUCGUGAUUGCUGAGGGCUGCGAUUCUAGCCGCGCCAUUUCUUGGGUUCACGCUUGGACCGUCACGGAUGGGAUAAUUACCCAGGUGAGAGAGUACUUCAAUACUUCUCUUACUGUUACUCGUCUUGGAAACCAAGAUCAAUCAGAGCCUUCUGAUUAUUCAUCUCCGUCUUCAUCGUCAUCUUCAUCGGCCGAGAUAACUCCCGU
rnacentral:misc_RNA from 1 species